AGUCAGUUGCAAACUAGCAUCUGGGGCCCACACAACGAGUAUCUGAUUACUCCACAAACCAUUGCCCCGGGAAGGUCUGAGAAUCGGCCGAGCCAGCUGUUUGUUGCGGCUUCAUUUCCCAGCAGGAAACCUGUGUGAUUGCAGGGCGAAAGUACCAGAAAUCCUGCUACCAGGUGUUGCCGUUGCCCCCGGUGACCGCCGCCUGGUUGGCAUUGAAACCUUUCGUGGCCAGCGUUUUUAGUGCGAUGUGCUUGCUGCCUCUAAGGCAGAACUCAAUUCAGACUAAUCUGUGACUGACU
ensembl:ncRNA RNaseP:RNA Ribonuclease P RNA